rnacentral:rRNA from 1 species
UACAGAGGUCUCAAGCGUUGUUCGGAUUCAUUGGGCGUAAAGGGUGUGUAGGUGGCGCGCUAAGUCGGGUGUGAAAUUUCGGAGCUUAACUCCGAAACUGCAUUCGAUACUGCCGUGCUUGAGGACUGGAGAGGAGACUGGAAUUUACGGUGUAGCGGUGAAAUGCGUAGAUAUCGUAAGGAAGACCAGUGGCGAAGGCGGGUCUCUGGACAGUUACUGACGCUGAGGCACGAGAGCCUGGGGAGCAAACGGG